rnacentral:rRNA from 1 species
UACCAGCACCCCGAGUGGUCGGGACGUUUAUUGGGCCUAAAGCAUCCGUAGCCGGUUCUACAAGUCUUCCGUUAAAUCCACCUGCUUAACAGAUGGGCUGCGGAAGAUACUAUGGAGCUAGGAGGCGGGAGAGGCAAGCGGUACUCGAUGGGUAGGGGUAAAAUCCGUUGAUCCAUGGAAGACCACCAGUGGCGAAGGCGGCUUGCCAGAACGCGCUCGACGGUGAGGGAUGAAAGCUGGGGGAGCAAACCGG